rnacentral:misc_RNA from 1 species
CCAAACUUGGUCAUUUAGAGGAAGUAAAAGUCGUAACAAGGUAACCGUAGGUGAACCUGCGGUUGGAUCAUUAAUGGGGGAGAUUGGGCGGCGAGCUUUCAAGCGAGCCUGUCCACGCUCAACACCACCUGUUGAACCAGAUUGUAUAUUGGCAGCCCCGGAUGGCCUCUUUUGGGGUGAGCUCGUUCGCGGGCUCGGGCUGCCAGCCGAUCGAAAGCAACAAUGUCCUGCCAUUGAGAUUUGACAAAAAGUAAAAAAAAAAACUUUGGACAACGGAUCUCUUGGCUCUCGCAUCGAUGAAGAACGCAGC